rnacentral:rRNA from 1 species
AACGAACGCUGGCGGCAUGCCUAACACAUGCAAGUCGAACGAGACCUUCGGGUCUAGUGGCGCACGGGUGCGUAACGCGUGGGAACCUGCCCUUAGGUUCGGAAUAACUCCCCGAAAGGGGUGCCAAUACCGGAUAAUGUCUUCGGACUAAAGAUUUAUCGCCUUUGGAUGGGCCCGCGUUGGAUUAGCUAGUUGGUAGGGUAAAAGCCUACCAAGGCGACGAUCCAUAGCUGGUCUGAGAGGAUGAUCAGCCACACUGGGACUGAGACACGGCCCAGACUCCUACGGGAGGCAGCAGUGGGGAAUAUUGGACAAUGGGCGAAAGCCUGGUCCAGCAAUGCCGCGUGAGUGAUGAAGGCCUUAGGGUUGUAAAGCUCUUUUACCCGGGAUGAUAAUGACAGUACCGGGAGAAUAAGCUCCGGCUAACUCCGUG